GCCUAACACAUGCAAGUCGAACGGAGCCAUCUAAACAAUCCCUUCGGGGUGCGUUUGGGGAAGCUUAGUGGCGGACGGGUGAGUAACGCGUGAGUAACCUGCCUUUCAGAGGGGGAUAACGUUCCGAAAGGAACGCUAAUACCGCAUAACGUAUUUUUACCGCAUGAUAGAGAUACCAAAGAUUUAUCGCUGAAAGAUGGACUCGCGUCUGAUUAGCUAGUUGGAGGGGUAACGGCCCACCAAGGCGACGAUCAGUAGACGAACUGAGAGGUUGAUCGGCCAAAUUGGGACUGAGACACGGCCCAGACUCCUACGGGAGGCAGCAGUGGGGGAUAUUGCGCAAUGGGGGAAACCCUGACGCAGCAAUGCCGCGUGAAGGAAGAAGGUCUUCGGAUCGUAAACUUUUGUCUUCAGGGACGAUAAUGACGGUACCUGAGGAGGAAGCCACGGCUAACUACGUGCCAGCCGCCGCGGUAAUAC
rnacentral:rRNA from 1 species